GACGAACGCUGGCGGCGUGCUUAACACAUGCAAGUCGAACGGUGAAGCGCCUUCCUUUUUGGUUGGAGUGGUUGAGUGGCGAACGGGUGAGUAACACGUGCGUAACCUGCCCCCUUCUUCUGGUUAACCGCAUUAAAGCUUGUCUAAUACGGGAUAUUCUGCUUCUUUCUCAUGAUGGGUCUGGGUAAGAUGUUGUUUCGGUGGUGGAUGGGCUUGCGCCCUAUCAGCUUGUUGGUGGGGUGAUGGCCUUGCAAGGCGGUGACGGGUAGCCGGCCUGAGAGGGUGGACGGUCAGACUGGGAGUGAGACACGGCUGAGACUCAGACAGGAGGCAGAAGUGGGGGAUAGUGCACAAUGGGGGCAAGCGUGAUGCAGCGAGGACGCGGGAGGGAUGGAGGCGUGCGGGUUGUGAACCUCUUUCGCCAGUGAAGCAGGACUGCCUCGUUUGUGGGUGGGUUGACGGUAGCUGGAUAAGAAGCGCCGGCUAACUACGUG
rnacentral:rRNA from 1 species